rnacentral:tRNA from 2 species
GGGGCGUUAGCUCAGCUGGUAGAGCAGCGGACUCUUAAUCCGUUGGUCGUAGGUUCGAUCCCUACACGCCCUACCA